CAACCCUCAGGCCCCCGGGCCUGGCGUUGGGGAUCGGCGAGGCGCCCCCUGCGGGCACACGCCGUCCCCCAAAUACAGUGGCGGUCCCGCCGCAGCUUCCAUUGCGUAGUAGCUAACACCUCGCAACUGGAGAGCGGCGCGGCCACGCCGUAAAACCCCCAACUUCUGAA
rnacentral:misc_RNA from 1 species